rnacentral:rRNA from 1 species
GACGAACGCUGGCGGCGUGCUUAACACAUGCAAGUCGAACGGUGAUGCUCCAGCUUGCUGGAGUGGAUCAGUGGCGAACGGGUGAGUAACACGUGAGCAACCUGCCCCAGACUCUGGAAUAAGCGCUGGAAACGGCGUCUAAUACUGGAUACGAAACUGGCCCGCAUGGGCAUGGUUUGGAAAGUUUUUCGGUUUGGGAUGGGCUCGCGGCCUAUCAGCUUGUUGGUGAGGUAAUGGCUCACCAAGGCGACGACGGGUAGCCGGCCUGAGAGGGCGACCGGCCACACUGGGACUGAGACACGGCGCAGACUCCUACGGGAGGCAGCAGUGGGGAAUAUUGCACAAUGGGCGAAAGCCUGAUGCAGCGACGCCGCGUGAGGGAUGACGGCCUUCGGGUUGUAAACCUCUUUCAGCAGGGAAGAAGCGAAAGUGACGGUACCUGCAGAAGAAGCACCGGCUAACUACGUG